AAUUCAUUUGGCUGCAAUGAAGUUUCAAGUGUGAAAGCAACUGUGCAGGAGGUUGACACAGUCAUCGUUGUUCAGAGACAACUUAUUCUGAGAACAUCUUUACAACAGCCAAGGAGCUGGCAGUGGAAAAGGGAGUUGUCAACCCUUAUGAUGUUUCAAUGGAGUGUAACUUGGAAGCAGCUUUUCUUCAAUACAGGAUUGUGGAGGGGCAGAGCCUAUUCCAGCUUGGUACCAGUCAACUCCAAGACAAAGUCACUCACAAGCAGGACAAGCAAGGCUUCAGCCAGCAGCAGGAACACAGCCGACUUGUCUGAGCUUUUGACUGAUCCCUAGUGGCUGCUCUAGGUGGGCAGACCUUCAAAGAAGACUUCCAUAACUGGCCAAGAGUUGCUUACAUAGCCGUUCUUGUGCUUUCAUCUGGAUUUGAGGGGACUGGCUGAAAAGCAGACAUUUCUCAAGGGAGUUCUACUCACAUAACAGCAAGGGUUUCAGUUGUGCUUUUUUUUUGGGGUUGUGGGUGGCUGUGGAAGGCAUUCUGCCCUAUGAAUGUGUAGACAACGUUUGUGAAAUAGACGGUAUGUGAAUGAGUGUGGAAAGUGAGUUCUGGAAAAUAAAACAAGUAGUAAAUAAUUAUAACAUAUGGUAUAAAAAUUCAGUGUGGCAAAGUGGUACAUGCUUUGGACUUUAAACCCUGAGGCUGUGGGUUUAAAUCCUGCUACUGACACUGUGUGACCAUGAG